rnacentral:Y_RNA from 1 species
GACUGGUUCAUUGGUAGUGGGUUAUCAGAACUUAUUAACAUUAGUGUCACUAAAAUUAGUAUACAACCCCCUCACUGCUAAAUUUGUCUGGCUUUAA